rnacentral:rRNA from 1 species
GACGAACGCUGGCGGCGUGCUUAACACAUGCAAGUCGAACGAUGAUGCCAGCUUGCUGGUGGAUUAGUGGCGAACGGGUGAGUAACACGUGGGUGAUCUGCCCCAAACUUUGGGAUAAGCCUGGGAAACUGGGUCUAAUACCGGAUAGUACCUUCCCUUGCAAGGGGGUUGGUGGAAAGCUCCGGCGGUUUGGGAUGGGCCCGCGGCCUAUCAGCUUGUUGGUGGGGUAAUGGCCUACCAAGGCGACGACGGGUAGCCGGCCUGAGAGGGCGACCGGCCACACUGGGACUGAGACACGGCCCAGACUCCUACGGGAGGCAGCAGUGGGGAAUAUUGCACAAUGGGCGCAAGCCUGAUGCAGCGACGCCGCGUGAGGGAUGACGGCCUUCGGGUUGUAAACCUCUUUCACCAGGGACGAAGCGUGAGUGACGGUACCUGGAGAAGAAGCACCGGCCAACUACGUG